rnacentral:lncRNA from 1 species
CAGACUGGAGCCUGGCCACUUGGCCGGGACCACCCGGUACCCACCUCCCUGGUGACAAAGCCUGCCCUGGUCCCUGACCUGAACGGGGACAGCUGGGAGGAGAAGAGACGCUCGAGGCUGCAGCUUUUACUCUCUGGAAUGGAGACCUGCCCUGGGAGAUUUUUCUAGGACUCCCAGAUCCCUCUUUCCAGACACAAGGGGUCCCCAAGAUUGGAAGCCUUACAGCCUCCUCAUCAGAACCAGCUGCUUUCCGACCAGCCCUGGGAGAGGGUCUUACAGGCUCUGAAUGCAGCAUGCCUGCCCUGCCUGGGAGCGGCACAGCCUGCACAGAGUGCUCCACACAGGAGAGCCACUGCCACUCCCCAGCGUGGUGACGCCACAUGCCAGAGACUUGGGAUGUUCUCCUAGACACCAAAUCUGUACACCAAGGGCUAUUACCAGGUGAAGAGGGAGCAUGCCAG